AGCGGGGAGGGAGCCCAGACGCUGAGUUCCGGCCCUGGCUGAGCUUGCGUUGCACCAACAUCCAUCCCCCGCCCCUCGACAUUGGGUUCCUGCCCAGGGUUCUGGCUUUCUUCCUGGGCUUUGUAGCGCGGCCGGGGGCGGGGCUUUCUAACCUCUCAAGUGGCAAUUCCUUUAGGUUUUGGGGCCUUGGUUGCCCAGAAUGGGCUGCGGCAUAUUCUGUGCUUUCCCGGGCUGGGACGAGCUGACAGAAAUUCUGGGUUUAGCGGUCGCCGACCCAGUGGGCCGCCAUCGGCGCCCAGAGGUGGCUGGGAAGAAUGGGCGAGUUUAGUAGGCGUCCCAGGCUGUCAAAAUCUUUGCUGUUGGCUCGUGCUGUCCAGCUGCGUUAUCUGCGGGCACAACAUCUUUGUUUGUAUGUGGUGCUGAGGAUCGAACCCGUGCCGCACGCAAACCAGGCGAGCGCGCUACCGCUUGAGCCAUAUCCCCAGCCCCAGAAUUCUUUCUAAUACCUAGAACCAUAAGUUAUAGGGAAUUGUUAAAACUUUUACUUUCAAACAUAUUUUUAUUGUAAAGAAGUGAUCAAUAAAACGUUUUUCAAACAUUAAUUACAUUUGGAUAACUUGGGGGAAAAGAACCUAAAUAUAAGUUAGAGAUGAUAAAGGAGCAAUGCUAAGACUGUCUUGCCUGCUAGAGAGGGGUCACAUUCUCCUUUGAAUGUUUAUUACUUUUCUCACCCCAAAGGUUCUGACUCAAGAUUAAUUCUCCCCCGAAUGUGUAUUUCUUACUUUACCCCAAAGGAUGUCUCUUACUCUUGGAAUGGCCUGCAUUCUCCCCUUGCUUUUCUAAAUAAAAUUCUGUGCCUACUGGGGUAGGGUGGGGAGAAUGAUGUUGAAAGCUCAUUUAUGUAUUUUUUUAAUGGAUGAGGGUGUUUAUUCAAUUGUUAUAUACUUUCUGUUGGAUGUAUUAUAAAAAGUGAUUUCACGGUU